rnacentral:tRNA from 1 species
CAAAUUAGAGCUUGAGUUAAGCAUUUUAUUUACAUUAAAAAGAUAGUUUAAAACUUAAUUUGA